CGGCGGCCCGAGUGGUAACCGCUAUUAUUGGGUCUAAAGGGUCUGUAGCCGGCCAGGUAAGUCCCUUGGGAAAUCUGGCAGCUCAACUGUCAGGCUGCUAGGGGAUACUGUUUGGCUUGGGACCGGGAGAGGUGAGAGGUACCUUGGGGGUAGGGGUGAAAUCUUGUGAUCCUCGGGGGACCACCAGUGGCGAAGGCGUCUCACCAGAACGGGUCCGACGGUAAGGGACGAAAGCUAGGGGCACGAACCGGAUUAGAUACCCGAGUAGUCC
rnacentral:rRNA from 1 species